CUUGGUCACCAGGGAAUGGUGCUAUUUGACAGGACUAGAGGGUGUAGCCAUGUUAGAGGAAGCAUGUCACUGGGAGUGGCCUUUGAAGAUGAGGAUGUCGCUGCAAGCUCCUUCUCUAGCCCCAUGUCUGCCUGCCAGCUGCCUGCCUGCUCCCACCACGAUGAUGAUGGACUGAACCCCUGAAACUAUUCUUCAGCCAGGAAAAAAUAGCAGCGAAGGAGAGAGAGAGAAAUCCUUCCCUGGUGAGCUGGAUUCCUUGAAGUUGCAGACUAUGAAAAGCGGGAUGCAGUUGUUCCUGCGCUGCCAUCAGGAGAAUAAUUACAGUAUGCAAACACUAACGUGUUUUGCUGCUGUGUUAUAUAAUUAACCAUUAGCUGCCCCACUCUUGGGUUUCAAACCUCGUCGAUGUAUUUCUUCUUCAUAUACAGUCAGCAGGGAUGCUCAUCUGCUCUGAGACCCCAGACUCUUCUGUCUGUAACAGCUCCACACUAAUGCGUGACUUCCAGGGUCUCAGUGGGAGGCAUUGGAGACUAGCCAGAAGCCCUUUUCAAUGACCUUGACUUUCACGUGACCUUUCGCUCACCCUUGCUUGACAGAAUAGACAACUGGCUGGCUUCACUGUGUCAAUUACUGGGAGUCCGCAGUCUGCUGGAGACCUUGGCGGUUGACUCACAGCCUGGUUCAGCCUCUGCGCCUCACUCUCUCUCCCCUUCAUCCACUUCUAGUUCAGAUGUCUAAGAGGGCUGGGUGGUUUCGAUGAGAAACCUCUCAGGAUAUGUUUUGUAAAACAUGGUAUUGUGCUGUCGGGGUGAGGAGAGGGGCUUAGCAGGCCCAUUCUGAGGCAUCCCUAUCACCCUGAGGUACCAGCAGUACGAUGGGUCUCGUAUAAAAUGAAGUUUAUUUGGGGCAUGGGAGGGGGGUGUUGAGAAGGGAAUAAAGGCAGAGAAAGAGAGGGACAGAAAGAGAGGGAGGAAGGAGGGACGGAAAAAGGGAGGGGAAGAGAGACAGAGAGAGAGAGACAGAGAGAGACAGAGAGAGACAGGGAGAGACAGGGAGAGACGGGCUGGAGGAGGGGGAGGGGGAGAGGGAGGGAUCAGGGAGAGCACAGAAGCCAAACAGUCCUUUUUAUAGCAUGCCAGGCCAGCCUGGCUGUUGCUAGGUAACUGAUGGGCGGAGCCUAGAAGGAAUGCUAACAAGUUAACAUCUCACAAGGGUUCUGGCAUCUGAACACUUAGAUCCCAGUUGGUGGCGCUAUUUGAGGAGGUCUAGCUAGUGUAGUGUUGCUAGAGGAAGUACGUUAUUGGGCGCGAGCUUUGCGGUUCCAAAGACUUUGCACUGUUCCCAGUUUGCCCUUCUCUCCGCAUUGUACUUCUGGUUCAAGAUGUGAACUCCCAGCAUCCUGGUCCAUAUGCCUGCCUGCUUGCUGUCUCUUCCGUGCCUUUAUGGGUGCUAACCCUCUGGGACCACAAGACAACAUAACAACAAGACCGUCUUCCUUAAGAUGCCUUGGUCAUGGUGUGUCUUAUCGCAGCGGCAGAAAAGUACUGAAUACAAGGGACAACCCGACUGUGUGUUUGCGCCAAGCGAUCUCGUAGACACGGGCCAGUCUAUGGACUAACUGCCCUUGUGCAUCUAUACCUAUCACUGUCAGAGCACAGAAGAACGAGCCGCGGUGAACAGUGAAUGUCUUGGGGAACUGUGGGAAAGGCUCCAGGAGAAAAGGCAGAGGGCCUUUUAUCUCAGGGGUGUCUUGUUUCCUGGAUUGUUCUUGGACGUGAUUUUGUGCUUCCUGUGUUAAACAUUGACGUUCAAGCCGUAAGGCAUGUUUAUUCUUGUUGGAUGUCUGGACAUAGCUAUAGAACCCAAUCUGGUCAGUGUACCCUGAAUGUGGAUGUGGCCUUCUGCCUUGCUUUUGUGCUUUCCCAGGUAGAGUCUACAGUACUUUCCAGGUAAUUGUGUUUAAACUGGUCUGACCUGAGAAAGUUCUGGGAAAGAGCUGCCCUGUUAAUAGUAUGAGCUUACUGGUGCUAAUUUGCAUAUUUUUCUGAUCACUUUUUUUUUUUUCAAAACUCAAACAGCCUUCCUUGGAUCAUUCCUUUCUUUGUUACAUUGUGUAUAAAAGGACACAGAAACUGAAGUAAGGUUGUCUACAGCAUCACACUCUAGUCCGCCCGUUCUUUCAGGUCUUCAGCGUCAGGUCCAGCAGACAAGAUCUGCACAGGUUGAUGCAAACUGACACAGGAUUACCUCUCUUCUGUUUAUUUUGGUUUUAUUGUUUGAGAUCCAGUCUCCCGUGGUCCAGGCUGGCCUUGAACUAGAUAUACAGCUAAGAUGAUCCUCCUGCCUCCACCUCCCAAGAGCUGGGAUUGCAGGUGUGCGCCUCUAUUCCUGGUUUAUGCAGCACUGGGGCGUCAAUCCAGGACAACAUGCUUGCUAGGCAACAUGCAUGCUAGGCAAGAACUAUACCGACUGAGCUACACCCCAGCCCUCUGUAUCCAUUUUUUUUAAAAAACCAUCUGGAGAAACAAGUUGGGGGAAUAAAUUACAUAGGAAUUUGGAAAUAAAAAGAAUAAAUAUAUGUGCCAGAGCCAUUUUAAUACUGAAGAUUUUUAAAUGUAGCUGACAAUGUUAUUAAAAUGUUACUGUACCGCGAUGGUUGGGGAAAUCAAAAUCUGUUAAGGUUUUUAGAAGAGACUACAGCUUUCUUAUUUUCUUUAAGUAUAUGUAAAUCAAGGGUAGCUGUUGGCCAUGUCAGGCCACGUACUCAAGUAUACAAAAAUGCUGCCCAGCACGUGCCGAAUAGGGCCAAUAUGGAGGGUCUGGGUUGAGGUAUUAAAUAAACUCGUACCAGCCCUUGCCUUUGUAUUCUAUUUCUUUCUUCCUCUCAGGCUGGAACGGGGGU
rnacentral:lncRNA from 1 species